AUACACAUUACACGAAUGCAGAAUGAAAUCUAUAGAAAUAAUAUGCACACUAUAUGUCAUUUGACUAUAGAGUUAUCAAGGCGAUUGUGUACACCUCUAGGAUCUAUAUACCCAUGGACUUUUCCCCACCACUAGUGUCUGGGUACAUCUGAAGCUCAAAUGCUCUUGUUCUGAAGACAGUUUUUUUCCCCUGUGGUGAAAGUGACUGGGUAAAUGGGUCAGAAAGUGGAGAACUGGGUUAGCAAGAGGUGAAGGUGAAGAUCAUUAGAGGUUUUAGGGCUGGCUGUGGCUGUUUUGCUGGGUUUGUGUGACUGUGCCCAGAGGGCGGAGUUCCUGCACAUUCCUACCUCACCGGAGAACCUGCCCUCAACUCCACUGCAGCUUACUCCAGAGAGAUGGGACCCUCCAGAAAGAAAACCUGCCCAGCAAUCCCAGCAAGCUUUCCCGCCAGCAGGACGCUGUGAAGAAUUACCUACACCGGAAAGAAAAGAACAGAGGCUUCAGGCAUGCUCGUGUUCCUCCUUCCCGGGGCUCGAUCGCUGGAGAUAAACAUCGAAAUAAUUGGAUCUGAGUGACUGAGGCUGGUAACUUGGUCCUGAACUAAGAUUAGAUCUAGCAACGUUUGCCAAGUCUUUGACUUCCAGACAGGUUUUCAAGCGGAAGCAGGUACAGAUCUCGCCUCCUGUCUGCAAAGAAGGUUGCAUUUGUGAACGUUGUCUCCUGGUGAUGUACCCGACCAUGUAAGUAGGUGUGUCAGGCUGGAGCCCGGCGAGGUGGGAGAUGUUCUGUAGGUGCUUGAGACACCUCUGUAGGACGCUGGCGAGGGAAGGUCGCAAGCACCACGAAAUCGUGAAUGUAACACGUUCAGAUCUCAAUCCCUGCUUCUCUGACAACGGGCACUCAAGCCGGAGGCUUAGCGCGGAGAUGGAGGGACAGGCUGCCUUAGUUUCCCGGCCCUGUGACUCACGGCGUUUGGGCCCACCAUUUCUUUGCAGUUGAAAAAUGCCAAAUCUGACAUGCACGUCUCACUUUGGCUGGCAACUGAAACCCUACCAACUGUGUGAAUCAUCGGGGAUCAUUUAGAGAGCCCCCCUCCCCCUCCCCUCCCUAUUUACUGCUUUUGACAUGAUCAAUAAAGUAAUUAAACAGCC